rnacentral:rRNA from 1 species
UACGUAGGUGGCAAGCGUUGUCCGGAAUCACUGGGCGUAAAGCGCGCGCAGGCGGCGAUCUACGUCUGGGGUGAAAGCCCGGAGCUCAACUCCGGGACUGCCUUGGAUACGGGGAUUGCUUGAGAUUGGAGAGGCAAGGGGAAUUUCCACGUGUAGCGGUGAAAUGCGUAGAUAUGUGGAGGAACACCUGUGGCGAAGGCGCCUUGCUGGCAAUUUCUGACGCUGAGGCGCGAAAGCGUGGGGAGCAAACAGG